AAUAUUUUUCCCAUACAAUAGCUACUUGGAUUGAACACAGAACACCUAAUCAAGUGUUUAAAGAUCGAACUCGAAAGUCCAAUGAAACUCAACUGUUUCAUCUUUCUUCAUUGAAGCAUGGCGACAACUGUGUCCGUGAGUGGUGGCUCCUCCUCGGAAUCGGCAUUGAUAUUCAUGGGGACAGGCUGCUCCAGCGCCAUCCCCUAUCCGAGGUGCCUCAUCUCUCCCUCCCAUCCUCCCUGUCACGUUUGCUUCCAAUCGCUCUCUCUCCCUCCCAAGCGAAACCCUAAUUACAGGUGUAAUGCGUCCCUCUUAAUCGAUUAUUGCGAAAGCGACGGCAAUCACCGCUAUAUUCUCAUUGAUGCUGGCAAGACUUUCAGGGAAACGGUGCUUAGGUGGUUUCUUCAUCAUCACAUUCCAAGAAUUGAUUCUAUUGUUUUGACUCAUGAGCAUGCUGAUGCUGUCCUUGGAUUGGAUGAUGUUCGUAGUAUUCAACCAGUUAGUCCCACAAAUGAUAUUGAUCCUACUCCCGUAUACUUGACUCAGCAUUCAAUGACUAGCUUGGAAACCAAAUUACCUUAUUUGGUAAAGAAAAAACUUAAAGAAGGGCAAGAAAUACGAAGGGUAGCUCAAUUUUCCUGGAACAUAAUUGCUGAAGACUGCAAUCAACCAUUUUUUGCAUCAGGCUUAAAAUUGACUCCUUUACCAGUAAUGCACGGAGAGGAUUACAUCUGUUUGGGCUUUCUCUUUGGUGACAAAAGUAAGGUAGCUUAUUUAUCUGAUGUCUCACGGAUUCCAGCUACCACAGAUUAUGUCAUUUCAAAAAGUGGGGCUGGACAGUUGGAUCUUCUGAUAUUGGAUUCAUUGUAUAAGUUUUCUUUCUUUACAUUCCCAGUGAUAGCCGUUCUUCUUGAUAUUCCUCUUUGCAUUAUGGCAGACUGGAUCAAAUAAGUUUCACCUUUGUCUUCCACAGACGCUUGAAACUGUGAAGAUGUUAUGUCCAAAACAAGCCCUACUGAUUGGAAUGAAUCACGAGUUUGAUCACCAUCAGGACAAUGAAUUAUUAAUGGAGUGGUCUAGAAGGGAAGGAAUCCUAGUGCAGCUGGCUCAUGAUGGUUUGAGAGUCCCCAUAAACUUAUAGGUAAUGCAUGUGGGGAUGUGCUUAGUUCACCGUUUACUCGUGCUUUACAGUGAGUUCGAGUUCAAUGAUGCAUGCUUUCUUUGCUGGAUUAUAUGCAAGCAAUUGUUCGGGAACAAUCCUAAUGCGAAUCUUUCUUCUCCCUUAAAUUUUUUAUUAAAAGAAAUUACUUUUCAUAUCAUAUAAUUAUAUUGGAGAACACUGAAAUACUUUGUGACAUUGUCUUCUGUUUAAUCUGUAUACUGCAGCCAGAGGAAUCUAAAAUCCUUAGUGUAAAAACUGCUUUGUUAAUUCGAAUAAAAUGGGAUCCUACCAAGGGAUUCGAGGAUAGAAGUUCUUCAAACUAGCUUUUUGUUCCCCUCGAAAUAUGAGAUUAUGAUUUUUGUAUGGAUGGUAACAAUUUUGCGUUCAUUUUGAAAAUUGUUUUUAGUAUACUUAGGAUGUGUUAGUUGAGGGUU